rnacentral:rRNA from 1 species
UACGAAGGGGGCUAGCGUUGUUCGGAAUUACUGGGCGUAAAGCGAACGUAGGCGGCUUUCUAAGUCGGGGGUGAAAUCCUGGAGCUCAACUCCAGAACUGCCUUCGAUACUGGAGAGCUCGAGUCCGGGAGAGGUGAGUGGAACUGCGAGUGUAGAGGUGAAAUUCGUAGAUAUUCGCAAGAACACCAGUGGCGAAGGCGGCUCACUGGCCCGGUACUGACGCUGAGGUGCGAAAGCGUGGGGAGCAAACAGG